GACGAACGCUGGCGGCGUGCCUAAUACAUGCAAGUUGAGCGAUGAAGAUUGGUGCUUGCCCCAAUUUGAAGAGCAGCGAACGGGUGAGUAACGCGUGGGGAAUCUGCCUUUGAGCGGGGGACAACAUUUGGAAACGAAUGCUAAUACCGCAUAAUAACUUUAAACAUAAGUUUUAAGUUUGAAAGAUGCAAUUGCAUCACUCAAAGAUGAUCCCGCGUUGUAUUAGCUAGUUGGUGAGGUAAAGGCUCACCAAGGCGAUGAUACAUAGCCGACCUGAGAGGGUGAUCGGCACAUUGGGACUGAGACACGGCCCAAACUCCUACGGGAGGCAGCAGUAGGGAAUCUUCGGCAAUGGACGAAAGUCUGACCGAGCAACGCCGCGUGAGUGAAGAAGGUUUUCGGAUCGUAAAACUCUGUUGGUAGAGAAGAACGUUGGUGAGAGUGGAAAGCUCAUCAAGUGACGGUAACUACCCAGAAAGGGACGGCUAACUACGUG
rnacentral:rRNA from 1 species